rnacentral:rRNA from 1 species
AUUGAACGCUGGCGGCAGGCCUAACACAUGCAAGUCGAGCGGAUGAAGGGAGCUUGCUCCUGGAUUCAGCGGCGGACGGGUGAGUAAUGCCUAGGAAUCUGCCUGGUAGUGGGGGAUAACGUCCGGAAACGGGCGCUAAUACCGCAUACGUCCUGAGGGAGAAAGUGGGGGAUCUUCGGACCUCACGCUAUCAGAUGAGCCUAGGUCGGAUUAGCUAGUUGGUGGGGUAAAGGCCUACCAAGGCGACGAUCCGUAACUGGUCUGAGAGGAUGAUCAGUCACACUGGAACUGAGACACGGUCCAGACUCCUACGGGAGGCAGCAGUGGGGAAUAUUGGGCAAUGGGCGAAAGCCUGAUCCAGCCAUGCCGCGUGUGUGAAGAAGGUCUUCGGAUUGUAAAGCACUUUAAGUUGGGAGGAAGGGCAGUAAGUUAAUACCUUGCUGUUUGGACGUUACCAACAGAAUAAGCACCGGCUAACUUCGUG